rnacentral:lncRNA from 1 species
GCGGCACCUCUGACUUGAUCGGAGGAUAGACAACUUAUCCACGUUCAGAGCAGCACAUAAGUAUUAUAUAUCUUCACUGAAUAUAUUUAAAUUUUAGCCAUUUUAGAGUCUAACAUUUAUUGUUCAAAGUAAAUUUUACAACACAUUUAUAGAGCCUAGGAUGUCUCGUGUGGUUAUCGGCAUCAUCUAACAAUUGAUGCCGAGGUUGGUGAAUGAGUCUCCAGUUAGCCAUCUGGGGCUCACGAUGCAGCCUGAGAGAUGUUCUUGGUAAGUCAAAGAUGUUUAAUUUUUAAAUUUACAGUAGGUUUGUAUUCUA